rnacentral:rRNA from 2 species
GGGUUGUGAGGUUAAGCGACUAAGCGUACACGGUGGAUGCCCUGGCAGUCAGAGGCGAUGAAGGGCGUGCUAAUCUGCGAUAAGCGCCGGUAAGGUGAUAUGAACCGUUAUAACCGGCGAUACCCGAAUGGGGAAACCCAGUGUGAUUCGUCACACUAUCAUUAACUGAAUCCAUAGGUUAAUGAGGCGAACCGGGGGAACUGAAACAUCUAAGUACCCCGAGGAAAAGAAAUCAACCGAGAUUCCCCCAGUAGCGGCGAGCGAACGGGGAGGAGCCCAGAGCCUGAAUCAGCAUGUGUGUUAGUGGAAGCGUCUGGAAAGGCGCGCGAUACAGGGUGACAGCCCCGUACACAAAAGCGCAUGUGCUGUGAGCUCGAUGAGUAGGGCGGGACACGUGGUAUCCUGUCUGAAUAUGGGGGGACCAUCCUCCAAGGCUAAAUACUCCUGACUGACCGAUAGUGAACCAGUACCGUGAGGGAAAGGCGAAAAGAACCCCGGCGAGGGGAGUGAAAAAGAACCUGAAACCGUGUACGUACAAGCAGUGGGAGCACAGGUUUACCUGUGUGACUGCG